AUUUCUAGGGCAAGAGUCAAAACCUGUUACUGCAAGCGGCCUCUCAAGCCGCCAGGACGGGUUCAAAUCCCGUUGGGGAUGCCA
rnacentral:tRNA from 1 species